GCUAGGACUGGAGGCUGCAGCUUGCCCGCAGCUGUGCUCCGUGUCCUAGGACACAGGGCAGCCCAUCUGAGGGAGACCCGGGGGGACAGGAUGCCCUCCUACCCAAACUGGGACCCCCAUCUAUCCCAAGAUGAUCUGAGCUUGGAUCAGAUGCACUGACUUGGGGAAGCAGGUGCUCCUUCCAGUAGAUUUGAGCAUCUAACCCUGUCUUGGCAUUAGUUUCUUGGAACACUUGAACUAAUAUACCUCCAGUAGCCAGUAGAUCCUGAGAAGUCACAGGAUCCUUGAUUAUCAACAAUAAAGAAUGUUACUAUUAAUGAGGACUGCAUAUUCUAAAAGCUUCAUCUGGUAUAAUGCACCCCAAAGAUGAUGCUUCAAGUCAAUCCACUGGAAGAUUGUGGAAAAGUACCUCCAGCAGCUAUUCUCAAGGAGAAGGUUUAUGUCAGCACCGCUUACAUCAACGGCACUCAGAACAUUUGUGUCAGCAGCAUAAAUGUUGUCAUUGUCAGCAUCUCUAUUUUAUACCCCCCAAAAUGUGUACAGUUUAAUUAGACCAAAGACAGGGAAUGGUUUGUUGAUAGCUCAACCUGGACAUAAUGUCUUCCUAAGGGAGACAUUCCUUUCCCACCUGGGGGACCAUAA
ensembl:lncRNA